GAUGAACGCUAGCGAUAGGCUUAACACAUGCAAGUCGAGGGGCAGCAUGGUCUUAGCUUGCUAAGACUGAUGGCGACCGGCGCACGGGUGCGUAACGCGUAUGCAACUUGCCUCACAGAGGGGGAUAACCCGUCGAAAGACGGACUAAUACCGCGUACACUCCACUUUGGGCAUCCAGAGUAGAGGAAAUGAAUUUCGCUGUGAGAUAGGCAUGCGUCCCAUUAGUUAGUUGGUGAGGUAACGGCUCACCAAGGCGACGAUGGGUAGGGGAACUGAGAGGUUGAACCCCCACACUGGUACUGAGACACGGACCAGACUCCUACGGGAGGCAGCAGUGAGGAAUAUUGGUCAAUGGGCGAGAGCCUGAACCAGCCAAGUCGCGUGAAGGAUGACUGUCUUAUGGAUUGUAAACUUCUUUUGUAGGGGAAUAACGGACGGUACGUGUACCGUAGUGAAUGUACCCUACGAAUAAGCUCG
rnacentral:rRNA from 1 species